rnacentral:rRNA from 1 species
AGCGAACGCUGGCGGCAGGCCUAACACAUGCAAGUCGAACGGAACCUUCGGGUUCAGUGGCGGACGGGUGAGUAACACGUGGGAACGUGCCCUAUGGUUCGGAAUAACUCAGGGAAACUUGAGCUAAUACCGGAUAAGCCCUACGGGGGAAGAUUAUCGCCAUUGGAGCGGCCCGCGUCUGAUUAGCUAGUUGGUGAGGUAAAGGCUCACCAAGGCUACGACCAGUAGCUGGUCUGAGAGGAUGAUCAGCCACAUUGGGACUGAGACACGGCCCAAACUCCUACGGGAGGCAGCAGUGGGGGAAUCUUGCGCAAUGGGCGAAAGCCUGACGCAGCCAUGCCGCGUGAAUGAU